AAUAAUAGCCCUGAGCCUUUCUAGCCAUCCCUUUAAUAUUAUCCCUUGUUAACCUCGUUGAGUCUGUACCAUUUGUUUGUUUAUAUAACCAUAUGAAUGUAAACCACGACCCAGACACUUCCUUACCCUGUUCAAAGUCAAUGUUAUGUCUUUAAGCUCUGUGAAUUCUAAGUUUCGAUUAACCCCAUAAGUAUCUGAAAGUAAGGUGAGUGCGGAAAAAAAAUUAAGAAAGACAACCAUCGGAAAAAAAAAGAAAACAAAAGAAAAUUUUCUUUUCGAUGGUACAAGGAAAGCACUCACCGAAUGAGAAACACUCAGUUGAAAAAAAAGAGAAGAGAAAAUCAAAGAAAAA
rnacentral:lncRNA from 1 species